GACGAACGCUGGCGGCGUGCUUAACACAUGCAAGUCGAACGGAAAGGCCCUGCUUUUGUGGGGUGCUCGAGUGGCGAACGGGUGAGUAACACGUGAGUAACCUGCCCUGGACUUUGGGAUAACUUCAGGAAACUGGGGCUAAUACCGGAUAGGAGCUCCUGCUGCAGGGUGGGGGUUGGAAAGUUUCGGCGGAUGGGGAUGGACUCGCGGCUUAUCAGCUUGUUGGUGGGGUAGUGGCUUACCAAGGCUUUGACAGGUGGCCGGCCUGGGAGGGUGACCGGCCACAUUGGGACUGAGAUACGGCCCAGACUCCUACGGGAGGCAGCAGUGGGGAGUAUUGCACAAUGGGCGGAAGCCUGAUGCAGCAACGCCGCGUGCGGGAUGACGGCCUUCGGGUUGUAAACCGCUUUCGCCUGUGACGAAGCGUGAGUGACGGUAAUGGGUAAAGAAGCACCGGCUAACUACGUG
rnacentral:rRNA from 1 species